CAGUUUGCUGCUGCUGCUAAGUCGCUUCAGUUGUGUCCAACUCUGUGCGACCCCAUAAGACGGCAGCCUACCAGGCUCCCCUGUCCCUGGGAUUCUCCAGGCAAGAACACUGGAGUGGGUUGCCAUUUCCUUCUCCAAUGCAGGAAAGUGAAAAGUAAAAGUGAAGUCGCUCAGUCGUGUCCGACUCUUAGCGACCCCAUGGACUGCAGCCUACCAGGCUCCUCCAUCCAUGGGAUUUCCCAGGCAAGAGUACUGGAGUGGGGAUGGUUUACAUCAUUUAAUUCCACUCCAAUCCGGUCCUUAUGUCUGCUCUUACCCUCACUUACAGAGGAUAUUUGGAUUCAGAAUCUAAUCAACUCCAACAACAUAUGAGCUUGGCUGAUUUUUAAAAAUAUGCCCUUCCCCCAAAUCAACUCCAAACAGGGUGUUAGCUUCAUCUACUGAACAUUCUCCUAGGAUUCCUGACAGACUUGUGCAUCUCCAAAUAACCCAAAGAAGAUGACAUAUCAAAGAAUACUCAUUUUAAUUUCCAUAAACUGUAGGAACUGGAAGAGAAGGGGUCCUUAAGUCUGGCAGAGGAGACAGGGCAGGGAAAGGAUGAUGGAGAAUAUCCUCAAGGUGCCAAGAAUCCCCCAGAACUGCAGAGUUUUAACUGAGAAGAACGAGAUGGUUGGAUGACAUCACCAACUCAAUGGACAGGAGUUUGAGCAAACUCUGGGAGAUGGUGAAGAACAGGGAAGCCUCGCAUGCUGCAGUCCAUGUUGUCACAAAGAGUUGGACACAACUGAGCAACUCAACAACAACAACAACAAAUUUUCCCCCAUGUCAUUUUCUUUAUCCUGUCCAUGCAUUUUCUGCUCCAGGAAAAACAAAAUACUUUCAGUUCUUUCAACAAGUCAUGUCUUCUCACCUAUAGGCCUUUUAUAUGCUUAUUCUUUUAUUUUUUUCUCUCUCCCGUAAACUCUUGUCCUGUUUAAUUCUGUUCAACCUUCACCCACCCCCCAACACUACCUCCAUAGUGGUGCUUUUUCCUUGAAGAUGUCACUUUCU
ensembl:lncRNA